ensembl:lncRNA LINC00334 long intergenic non-protein coding RNA 334
AGCAAAGGACGGGCAGGUGGGGCAGCUGCACACCCAGGGCCCUCUCCACGGUCUUCCCGGGCCCACCCCUCCCGCGGUCCUGGGUCAUCCACCUGCUGGCCUCACUCUGCCCACGCGGCCAGGUCCCACCGGCCCCUGAGCUCAACAGACCAAAGCUGGCCCGACCCCACCCCCAAGAAGAAUGAAACAAUUUUUUUUUACCUCUUGCAGAAAAGUAAAAGAUCAUUUAUUCAUUCUGUUUCUAGAUAGCAAAACUAAGUGUCAAAAGCACCUUCUGCACACAGUCUGCACACACUGGCCGGUGGUCCUGUUCCCGCAAGGUUGAGCUGUGUUCCAGAGACAUGGGUCCUCCGGGUGAUGAGGAGCCGCUGGAGGGCCCUGAGCUGCACGUGCUAAUGAUUAACGCCCCGUCCGUGCUGGCCGGUUUCUCAAAUGCCUCCUGACGAUUGCGCACAGCCGGACAUCAUUUGUACUGAGAGACAAAAGGAAAUCACUGAGGCUUUCUGAGGUGAGCUGGGCGGCCGCGGGGGGACUGGACUCACACCUGCUAACGGCCAGUCCACAGGACCUGCCCAGAGGCUCGGACACACAGCUGAAGUCACAUCCCACGGGGAGCAUCCUCACCAACUGACAAUCAGCACGGGUUUGUAAUUAAGGGUUUCUGCCCAGCCAAUGAACGGCCUCCAGAAACAACCUUUGUGGAACCCCCUAUAAAAGCCUUCCCAGCGCUUGCCUUCAGGACACUGCUCAGGGCUGACUCAGUGUACCCAAGCUGCAGUCUUUGUUUCCCAAAUAAGCAGUCAUUCAUUCUACCUCCGUGUCAAUCUUUUCUUCGUGAACACAGCUGGUGUCAGGAGCAGGGCUUAGCAAGAUCUCUCCUUUGAGCGGCUUUCUCUGGAAUCGGGUGAAGUCCCCACAACACAGAGGCCCCUGUGCGCGCCCCUUCUUUGGGGCCAGCACCUCCCUUCAACUGAGGCUGAUACCUUUAUUUGGGAAUCUGGGGGCAGUUGCUGCCUCUGUGCCGGCAAAGGCUUUCAGCUUGGAGGACGUUUUCCCUGCUUACUGGAGAUUUUCCCAAUGGUGUCCAUGUCACUGUUCCUCUAGCAGAUGUGGAAAGUGGCUGCUCAGUGAGGACUCAGCCCCCACCAACCUGACUGAGGGUCACACGACACCAUGGUGGAAAGUCACAAAGGGUAACGGGCCAAGAGGGUGAGGGGGGCUCCCUGACCCUGAGGACCCCUGAGGCACUGCUGCACCUUCCACGGAUUCUGUGUCUAGCGUUGCCCUCUUUGCAGAUGCCCCUCGUGGUGGUGGCACAAAGACCUAAAAAUGAUUUCUGUAAAAUGGGUACAAGGAGCUCCCUGAUAAAGCAGCUCAUCCUAGACAGC